GGGUUGUGAGGUUAAGCGACUAAGCGUACACGGUGGAUGCCCUGGCAGUCAGAGGCGAUGAAGGACGUGCUAAUCUGCGAAAAGCGUCGGUAAGGUGAUAUGAACCGUUAUAGCCGGCGAUGUCCGAAUGGGGAAACCCAGUGCAAUUCGUUGCACUAUCGUUUGAUGAAUACAUAGUCAAACGAGGCGAACCGGGGGAACUGAAACAUCUAAGUACCCCGAGGAAAAGAAAUCAACCGAGAUUCCCCCAGUAGCGGCGAGCGAACGGGGAGCAGCCCGGAGUCUGAAUCAGCUUGUGUGUUAGUGGAAGCGUCUGGAAAGUCGCAGGGUACAGGGUGAUACUCCCGUACACUAAAGCACACAGGUUGUGAACUCGAAGAGUAGGGCGGGACACGUGGUAUCCUGUCUGAAUAUGGGGGGACCAUCCUCCAAGGCUAAAUACUCCUGACUGACCGAUAGUGAACCAGUACCGUGAGGGAAAGGCGAAAAGAACCCCGGCGAGGGGAGUGAAAAAGAACCUGAAACCGUGUACGUACAAGCAGUAGGAGCCUCUUUAUGGGGUGACUGCGUACCUUUUGUAUAAUGGGUCAGCGACUUAUAUUCUGUAGCAAGGUUAACCGUAUAGGGGAGCCGCAGGGAAACCGAGUCUUAACUGGGCGUUAAGUUGCAGGGUAUAGACCCGAAACCCGGUGAUCUAGCCAUGGGCAGGUUGAAGGUUGGGUAACACUAACUGGAGGACCGAACCGACUAAUGUUGAAAAAUUAGCGGAUGACUUGUGGCUGGGGGUGAAAGGCCAAUCAAACCGGGAGAUAGCUGGUUCUCCCCGAAAGCUAUUUAGGUAGCGCCUCGUGAACUCAUCUUCGGGGGUAGAGCACUGUUUCGGCUAGGGGGUCAUCCCGACUUACCAACCCGAUGCAAACUACGAAUACCGAAGAAUGUUAUCACGGGAGACACACGGCGGGUGCUAACGUCCGUCGUGAAGAGGGAAACAACCCAGACCGCCAGCUAAGGUCCCAAAGUCAUGGUUAAGUGGGAAACGAUGUGGGAAGGCCCAGACAGCCAGGAUGUUGGCUUAGAAGCAGCCAUCAUUUAAAGAAAGCGUAAUAGCUCACUGGUCGAGUCGGCCUGCGCGGAAGAUGUAACGGGGCUAAACCAUGCACCGAAGCUGCGGCAGCGACACUAUGUGUUGUUGGGUAGGGGAGCGUUCUGUAAGCCGUUGAAGGUGGCCUGUGAGGGUUGCUGGAGGUAUCAGAAGUGCGAAUGCUGACAUAAGUAACGAUAAUGCGGGUGAAAAACCCGCACGCCGGAAGACCAAGGGUUCCUGUCCAACGUUAAUCGGGGCAGGGUGAGUCGACCCCUAAGGCGAGGCCGAAAGGCGUAGUCGAUGGGAAACAGGUUAAUAUUCCUGUACUCGGUGUUACUGCGAAGGGGGGACGGAGAAGGCUAUGUUGGCCGGGCGACGGUUGUCCCGGUUUAAGCAUGUAGGCGGAUGUUCCAGGUAAAUCCGGAACGUUAUUAACGCUGAGGUGUGAUGACGAGGCACUACGGUGCUGAAGUGACAAAUGCCCUGCUUCCAGGAAAAGCCUCUAAGCAUCAGGUAACAUCAAAUCGUACCCCAAACCGACACAGGUGGUCAGGUAGAGAAUACCAAGGCGCUUGAGAGAACUCGGGUGAAGGAACUAGGCAAAAUGGUGCCGUAACUUCGGGAGAAGGCACGCUGAUAUGUAGGUGAAGUGGUUUACCCAUGGAGCUGAAAUCAGUCGAAGAUACCAGCUGGCUGCAACUGUUUAUUAAAAACACAGCACUGUGCAAACACGAAAGUGGACGUAUACGGUGUGACGCCUGCCCGGUGCCGGAAGGUUAAUUGAUGGGGUUAUCCGUAAGGAGAAGCUCUUGAUCGAAGCCCCGGUAAACGGCGGCCGUAACUAUAACGGUCCUAAGGUAGCGAAAUUCCUUGUCGGGUAAGUUCCGACCUGCACGAAUGGCGUAAUGAUGGCCAGGCUGUCUCCACCCGAGACUCAGUGAAAUUGAACUCGCUGUGAAGAUGCAGUGUACCCGCGGCAAGACGGAAAGACCCCGUGAACCUUUACUAUAGCUUGACACUGAACACUGGUCCUUGAUGUGUAGGAUAGGUGGGAGGCUUUGAAG
rnacentral:rRNA from 1 species